rnacentral:rRNA from 1 species
AUUGAACGCUGGCGGCAGGCCUAACACAUGCAAGUCGAACGAGUGGCGGACGGGUGAGUAAUGUCUGGGAAACUGCCUGAUGGUGGGGGAUAACUACUGGAAACGGUCGCUAAUACCGCAUACCAUCGGAUGUGCCCAGAUGGGAUUAGCUAGUAGGUGGGGUAAAGGCUCACCUAGGCGACGAUGCCUAGCUGGUCUGAGAGGAUGACCAGCCACACUGGAACUAAGACACGGUCAAGACUCCCACGGGAGGCAGCAGUGGGUGAUAUUGCACAAUGGGCACAAGCCUGAUGCAGCCAUGCCGCGUGUAUGAAGUGUGCCUUCGGGUUGUAAAGUACUUUCAGCGGGGAGGCGUUACCCGCAGAAGAAGCACCGGCUAACUCCGUGCCAGCCGCCGCGGUAAUAC